AGGGCUAUAGCUCAGUUGGUAGAGCACCUCGUUUAAUAAACAGUUUGAUCUGUUUUACCGAGA
rnacentral:tRNA from 1 species